rnacentral:rRNA from 1 species
GUCGAGCGGGCUUAUUCGGGCAACUGGAUAAGUUAGCGGCGAACUGGUGAGUAACACGUAGGUAAUCUGCCGUAGAGCGGGGGAUAACCCAUGGAAACAUGGACUAAUACCGCAUAUACUCUUGCUACACAAGUAGAGUAGAGGAAAGGAGUAAUCCGCUUUACGAUGAGCCUGCGGCCUAUUAGCCUGUUGGUGGGGUAAUGGCCUACCAAAGCUACGAUAGGUAGCCGACCUGAGAGGGUGACCGGCCACAUUGGGACUGAGAUACGGCCCAGACUCCUACGGGAGGCAGCAGCUGAGAAUCUUCCACAAUGGACGAAAGUCUGAUGGAGCGACAUCGCGUGAGGGAUGAAGGCCUUCGGGUUGUAAACCUCGGAAAUUAUCGAAGAAUGAGUGACAGUAGAUAAUGUAAGCCUCGGCUAACUACGUGCCAGCAGCCGCGGUAAUACGUAGGAGGCAAACGUUGCUCGGAUUUACUGGGCGUAAAGGGUGAGUAGGCGGACUUAUAAGUCUAAGGUGAAAGACCGAAGCUCAACUUCGGAAACGCCUCGGAUACUGUAAGUCUUGGAUAUUGUAGGGGAUGAUGGAAUUCUCGGUGUAGCGGUGGAAUGCGCAGAUAUCGAGAGGAACACCUAUAGCGAAGGCAGUCAUCUGGGCAUUUAUCGACGCUGAAUCACGAAAGCUAGGGGAGCAAACAGGCUUAGAUACCCUGGUAGUCCUAGCCGUAAACGUUGUACACUAGGUGCUUCUAUUUAAAUAGGAGUGCCGUAGCUAACGUCUUAAGUGUACCGCCUGAGGAGUAUGCCCGCAAGGGUGAAACUCAAAGAAAUUGACGGGUCCCCGCACAAGUGGUGGAGCAUGUGGUUUAAUUCGAUGAUACGCGAAAAACCUUACCUGGGUUUGAAUUGUAAGAUUAAUGAUUUAGAGAUAAGUCAGACCGCAAGGAGAUUUUACAUAGGUGCUGCAUGCCUGUCGUCAGCUCGUGUCGUGAGAUGUUGGGUUAAGUCCCGC